rnacentral:lncRNA from 1 species
AUGUUUCAAAAAUCACCUAAUCGUUCGAAUCUUUGUUGCGAAGUCUAUAAAUUAUACGAUCUUCGAGGCAUGCGAUUGCAUGGAUGCCGGUGUUUUGAAAUCUUGGACUGACGUCUCUGCAGCUCUCUAUGAGAGUUCGUGAAGCUGGUUUUCUUAGAUAUUCUGCAAAACAAGCCUAACCAAACCGUCAUGGUCACUGGUACUUUGACGUCACUAUAGGUAGGUCUCUGUA